UUUUCUUUCCCUUCAAUCGAUCCAUCCUCUUCGGCAUUAACGUUAUUCCUUUUCCUCCUUCUUCUCCAUACUUGAACCGGUAAGGUUCUGAUCUACUCAUUCACCACUCUUUUUAGAGUUGGUCGACACCCAUAUCGACCUAUUUUCAUUACCUCUUCGCUAUUUAACCAAGAUCUGAAAUGGGUUUUCGACGCACAUGAUUGUUUUUCAGCUUUAUUCCGUUUUCUUACUUAAUUGAUUCGAGCAUGGCUUUUUUCUUCAAUUUGCUGCUCGGAUCUGAAAGGAUUUUUGUUUGUGUAAUGCCUUGCCGCUCGAAUUAGCCAUUGACACUCUGAUUUCGAUCGUUCGAUGAGUUCUUGAUACUACACGGUCGUUUACUUGGUUGACUCGAGAAUGGUAAAGUAGAGGUUAUAACAAUUUCCUAUCUGUCAUGGCUAUGCGAUGGUAGGUCUACUAGCAAAGUGCGUGCGAGUAUCUAACAAGACAUAAAUUCACCUUCUACGGUCCCUACGUAGUCCUGCAUAAAAAAAAGGUCCUUAACGUGCAUUUAUGUCGUUUGUUUGUUUUAUUUGCUAAGUUUAAGUACAUUUGUAAUUAUAAAUACAUAGUUACGCUGGCA